rnacentral:rRNA from 1 species
CCUACGGGUGACAGCAGUGAGGAAUAUUGGUCAAUGGACGAGAGUCUGAACCAGCCAAGUAGCGUGAAGGAUGACUGCCCUAUGGGUUGUACACUUCUUUUAUAUGGGAAUAAAAUGUUCCACGUGUGGGACUUUGUAUGUACCAUAUGAAUUAGGAUCGGCUAACGCCGUGCCAGCAGCCGCGGUAAUACGGAGGAUCCGAGCGUUAUCCGGUUUUGUUGGGUUUAAAGGGAGCGUAGGUGGAUUGUUAAGUCAGGUGUGAAAGUUUGCGGCUCAACCGUACAAUUGCAGUUGAAACUGGCAGUCUUGAGUACAGUAGAGGUGAGCGGAAUUCGUGGUGUAGCGGUGAAAUGCUUAGAUAUCACGAAGAACUCCGAUUGCGAAGGCAGUUCACUGGACUGCAACUGACACUGAGGCUCGAAAGUGUGGGUAUCAAACAGGAUUAGAUACCCUAGUGGUC